rnacentral:sRNA from 1 species
CGCAGGGCUGGGGGCCCCGGGGCUGCUGGGCAGUCAUUGAGGGAGAGGUCCCCCCAACAGGUGACCUGGAGAGCUUCAAGAAGCAGUCGUUUGUGCUGAAGGAGGGUGUGGAGUACCGGAUAAAAAUCUCUUUCCGGGUAAGCUACAGGCUGCUGUGGCCAGGGAAUGGAGGCGGGGCUAGGGCUGGGGUCCGGGCCGACCUUCCCUGAUUUGCUUCGGGUCCUGCAGGUUAACAGAGAGAUAGUGUCCGGCAUGAAGUACAUCCAGCACACGUACAGGAAAGGCGUCAAGAUUGACAAGACUGACUACAUGGUAGGCAGCUAUGGGCCCCGGGCCGAGGAGUACGAGUUCCUGACCCCCGUGG